rnacentral:rRNA from 1 species
GUCUUUUUGAAAAUAAUUUAAAGUCUAACCUGCCCAAUGAUAUAUAUUUAAUGGCUGCAGUAUUUUAACUGUACAAAGGUAGCAUAAUAAUUAGUCCUUUAAUUAAGGACUGGAAUGAAUGGUUGGACAAGAAAAAAGCUGUCUCUAUAUAAAUUAUUUAGAAGUUUAUAUUUAAGUUAAAAAGCUUAAAUAUAUUUUAAAGACGAGAAGACCCUAUAGAGUUUAAUAAUAAUAUAAAAUUAGAAAUUUAGAAUAGUUAUUUUAUUUUUAAGUAAUUAUUUUAUUGGGGUGAUAGUAAAAUUUAAUAAACUUUUUUUAAAAAUAAACAUUAAUGUAUGAAUAUUUGAUCCAUAAAUUAUGAUUAAAAGAUAAAAUUACCUUAGGGAUAACAGCGUAAUUUUUUUAGAAAGUUCAUAUUGAUAAAAAAGUUUGCGACCUCGAUGUUGGAUUAAAAUAAUAUUUGGUGUAGAAGCUAAAUUAAUUAGGUCUGUUCGACCUUUAAAAUUUU